GACGAACGCUGGCGGCGUGCCUAAUACAUGCAAGUCGAACGCAGUGGGGACGGGUGAGCAACACGUGGGUAACCUCCAAUCAGAGGGGAUAACACUUGGAAACAGGUGCUAAACCGAUACUGAUGGAUGGACCCGCUGUGCAUUAGCUAGGUGGUGAGGUAACGGCUCACCAAGGCCACGAUGCAUAGCCGACCUGUGAUGGUGAUCGGCCACACUGGGAGUUAGACACGGCCCAGACGCCUACGGGAGGCAGCAGUAGGGAAUCGUCGGCAAUGGACGAAAGUCUGACCGAGCAACGCCGCGUGGAGGAUGACACUUUUCGGAGCGUAAACUCCUUUUGUUAGGGAAGCGGUACCUAACGAAUAAGCACCGGCUAACUCCGUGCCAGCAGCCGCGGUAAUAC
rnacentral:rRNA from 1 species